rnacentral:rRNA from 1 species
UACGUAGGGUGCGAGCGUUGUCCGGAAUUACUGGGCGUAAAGAGCUCGUAGGUGGUUUGUCGCGUUGUUCGUGAAAACUCACAGCUCAACUGUGGGCGUGCGGGCGAUACGGGCAGACUGGAGUACUGCAGGGGAGACUGGAAUUCCUGGUGUAGCGGUGGAAUGCGCCAGAUAUCAGGGAGGAACACCGGUGGCGAAGGCGGGUCUCUGGGCAGUAACUGACGCUGGAGGAGCGAAAGCGUGGGGAGCGAACAGG